ACAACUAUUGUUGGCAUGAGUAUAUACUGAGAGAAACAACUAAAGGAACACAGGGAAAUUCAAGCGUUUCUUUAUUAUUUUCCAGUUUUCAUCACCACUCUUGAUUUGACUGUAGGACUUAUUGGUGAAUGUGUUGGCACAGUAUACUCAGUAUAUUUCCAUAGUUCAAUUACAAUUCUACUUUAUCUUGAUGUGCAACUUGUAAAUCAUUUUUAUUAUAGCGUCAAUAAAAGUUUUACAUUGAACUUUUGUGGUCUUGACAGCAUUUCAGUCAUUUCACGUAAUGCCUGACUAUGAUAUUUAGUCAUUUCGUGUAAUAACUGGAAUUUUCAGUCAUUACACGUAUUGCCUAGUGCUCACAGGCACUUCACGAAAUGACUGAUUCAUUUAGUCAUUACGCGAAAUGACUGAUUACACAGAUUGGCUGUAACAUACACUACCUGCUUAGGGACACAGCUGGCUCGGCGGACCAUGCUACCGUUACGUUUUCGUAAAGUUGCCUUCCUGAAUGAAGGUGGGUCGAAUCCCGUUUCUAAAAGUAUGUGUCCAGGCUUACCAGCCCGAUACCCGUGUUUCUCUGCUAGAGUGAUAAAGAUUUGAUACAUGUAUCAGUUUUCUCAACAUUCAGUUAACAUGGGUGAUUUGUAAUACUGUUUCAAAGAGGCAUAAAACCGUCAUUACCCAUG